rnacentral:rRNA from 1 species
GACAGAGGGUGCAAACGUUGCUCGGAAUCACUGGGCGUAAAGGGCGUGUAGGCGGGAAGGAAAGUCAGAUGUGAAAUCCCCGGGCUCAACCUGGGAACUGCGUUUGUGACUGCAAGACUCGAGUGCGGCAGAGGGGGGUGGAAUUCCACGUGUAGCAGUGAAAUGCGUAGAGAUGUGGAGGAACACCGAUGGCGAAGGCAGCCCCCUGGGUCGACACUGACGCUCAUGCACGAAAGCGUGGGGAGCAAACAGG